rnacentral:rRNA from 1 species
UACGGAAGGCAGCAGUGGGGAAUAUUGCACAAUGGGCGAAAGCCUGAUGCAGCUAUGCCGCGUGUAUGAAGAAGGCCUUUAGGGGUUGUAAAGUACUUUUCAUCGGGGAGGAAAAAACAAAACUAAUAAUUUUAUUUCUUGACGUUACCCGAAAAAGAAGCACCGGCUAACUCCGUGCCAGCAGCUGCGGUAAUACGGAGGGUGCUAGCGUUAAUCAGAAUUACUGGGCGUAAAGAGCACGUAGGUGGUUUUUUUUAAAGUUCAGAUGUGAAAUCCCUGGGCUUAACCUAGGAACUGCAUUUUGAAACUGAAAUACUAGAGUAUCGUAGAGGGAGGUAGAAUUCUAGGUGUAGCGGUGAAAUGCGUAGAUAUCUGGAGGAAUACCUGUGGCGAAAGCGGCCUCCUAAACGAAUACUGACACUGAGGUGCGAAAGCGUGGGGAGCAAACAGGGAUUAGAUACC